GCCGGGCGUGGUGGCGCAUGCCUGUAGUCCCAGCUACUCGGGAGGCUGAGGCAGGAGAAUCGCUUGAACCUGGGAGACGGAGGUUGCAGUGAGCUGAGAUUGCGCCACUGGCCACUGCACUCCAGCCUGGGUGACACAGCAAGACUCCGUCUCAA
rnacentral:SRP_RNA from 1 species